AGAACCAAAAAAAAAAAAAAAGAAUAAAAUAAUGAAUCUUUAAAACAAUAACACAGGAGUAAUAUUAAUAGCACUUCUUCCCUCCAAGGGCUGAGAUGAAGAUAGAAAGUCCACCUCCAGCGCUGAUAAGCAAGAAGGCUCCUGAGAACCAGUGCUGAUACUAAGCCAUCUCAUGGAGACGUGAUGCUAAGUGGCUCCACGCAGCCCUGUUUCAUAGUGGUACCCAGAGGGAAACAAAACAGCAGCAGAAGCUUAGAGGUUAAAGUGUGGCCAGGCUUCUCAAAGGCUCUCUGCCUCUGAGCAAGCAGGCAACACGGGUCAGCUGCUCCUCUCUCGUUCCUCCCGCCCCCUCGGUCUGGAAUAUUUGCUCCUUAGAGGGCUCUCCGACUUAAGCUCUGCCUCUGGAGUGUGAUUUAUCCUGGAAAUAGUUCUACCAGAAAAUAAUAGAAAAUUACUUGCCAGGAGAAGAAUCAAACGAGAGACUGUAUUUACUUUGGGCGUUUUUCCCAUCGUACCAGGUUGUAUUGCCAAGGAGCUAAAAAUAGUGGUGAUAAGCAGUCUUCGAAUUGGUCCCUGUCGGGGUGACGAGGGUCAACCAAAAGUAGACUGGCUCCUCCAGCGAACCCCUGUGAGAUCAACAUCAUCUACCUUCACCCUAUUUCGGGAGCCUUUCUUGCAGUUUCUCUUGGCUGGGUUCCUGCUUCCCCACGCAUGGCCUGGGUUUCCCUCCCGACCGCUCGGUUCCUCACACCCAUCUAGGCAGCCCAUGUUAAACCAAGUGGUUGUAGAUGGCUCCUGCUUUACAUAUGCUGUUUAUAGUUGCUGGUUUGUGCUUUCACGAUGCUUCGCGUCUCAGCUGGUCGUUGUACCACCCUAAGAAGGGAGUAAUGAAAUACAUGGCAUUUAUAUGGGUGGCUAUGCUGUUCGUCAUUUUUCAUCUAGGGGAUGCUUAUUGGAGGAGACGUGUGAAAUUGCAGAGGGUAUUUUUUCUCUCUUAAAGAUAAGCCCCUAGCGUAUUAAAUAUUCAUCUGUUUUAGAGGAACGCUGUACCAGUUUUUGCGCCCCCCCCCCAUUUCCCCGAUUCUUUCGUGGAAAUAUAUUCUGAUGUCUACGAUACGUAUUGUUCUCAUAAAAUGCGCCUCACUGCAACUGGUCCCCUGAGCAAAACUUGAAAUCUUCAUGAACAGCUGUUGAGAGAUAUGGAGAAAUGAGUGUUCUUCAGCCUUUCCGGUCACAUCUGAGCAGAUAUCUCCUGGCUGAGCUUGGGGCUUUGAUCCAACCCUCCCCACCGUGUGUGUGUGUGUGUGUGUGUGUGUGUGUGUGUGUGUGUGUGUGUACGCACGCGCGCGCGCAGAUACAUGUCACUCCCAGAGAACAGACGUAUAACUCUUUUUCUCAGACGCUGUCCACUUUUUGUUUUGUCUCGUUUUGUUUUGUUUUGUUUGAGACAUAUUUGUGGAACUUACAAUUUGGUGAGCCUCAGAGGUCUGCCUGUCUUUGUCUGCCUGUCUUUGCCUCUCCAGUGCUGGGCUUACAAGUGUAUGCCACUGUAACCUUUUUUUUGUUGUUGUUGUUGUUGUUCAUUAUCUUUUAAACACCAGUUCUGGGAUCUAACUCCCAUCUCCAUUUUUGCAAGGUAUGCACUUUACCAACUGAGCCAUCUUCCCUGCCCAGCCUUCUGUCUUCUAAAGGGCUUAUUUUUCUCGGCCACUUUUUAUCCAAAGGUGCUAUUCUGGGUUUUUGUAUUGUAUUUCCUGGCUUCGCUGAGUUGAAGAGGCAAGGGAAAUAGAAACCUCUCUUCUAAAGAUACAGUCAGGAAAGCCCAGGCCCCUCCCUGGAGGGGUAGCAGAGGUGAGUGACAUGGUCCUAAGGAGAAGGUGUCGCGGUCCCCCCUGCUGGGUAGGGCUAAUCAGGUGGUGGUAGCAGCUAUGAGGAUGAAAAGGUGGGUAGUAUGGAUGGGGGUGGAUGAGUAUUUAAAGCCACACAUGUGAGCAACUCCCUCCCCUCCCUUGAGUGUACUUCUAGGUGACCCCAAACAGUAAUACAACAGUGGCAGUAGCAGCAACACGUGAGUGCUUAUCUGAAAUGCAAACACACGCUGCUUCAGAUUGAUGGGGCAGGGGAAAGGCAUGACCUCUUCAAGCACUGUCUUGUCUCCUUGGGAUUUCCUAGCCGGUGAACAAUACCUGGGUGGGAGUAGAGCUUGGAGAUAUGGGGUUGAGAGGCAUACAUUAGAUUUCUACCUGGAAAGAGCCUACAGCUGAGAGUGGGGAUAGCCUGGAACAGUUUUGAUGUUCAAGAUGAGUAUGAGCCCAUAAGUCAAAAGUGAGGGGCUGGGGGAGCUUUUGAGUCAGAUAAGAAAGACCUUGUCUGGUCACCAGCAGAGAGACCUAUGAGCAGAAUUUGAGCCAGCUUUUACAGUCUUUAUCUGGUUAGUACUGUCCAGCAAGGACCACUGCAAAGGGGAAUAAAACUGGAUGAUCACUGCGGAGCGCCCAAUAAAGAUUUAUUUAUAUGCUCUGGUGAGAUAAGAACACUGGCUGCUUUGCACAGGACCUGAAUUCAGUUCACUGCAGCCUCAUUGGGUAUCUCACAAUUACCUGUAACUCCAAUUCCAGGGAAUCUGACACCCUCUUCUGGCCUCUGUGGGCAUCCAUACUUGUGGUACAUGCACAGACACAUGAAAAGUCUUUUGCAAAAGUGUUUUAAAACGAAAGUCGAGGUAGAUAUGGGUUCAUAAGAGGACUUCUAUUUCUGUGUUCCUUGCAGCCCGAAGAACACUGCUCUUCACCUCCAUGAAUCAAAUGACAAUGUUUUUUCCUAAGGAAGCUGCUUACCUUCCUGACCACCAACAAUGCUGGUUCUAUAGUUUUGUGCCAGGCAAUGUGCUCAGGACCACUUGUACACUCUGCGUGGUCAGAAAAAUAAUGACAUCAAAGAUGUCACCUCCCAACCCUCAGGACCUGUGAGGAGGUGACCUUGGAAAGGGCCAUUGCAAAUUUGAUCCAACAGGGACCUAGCCAUGGGGUGGGGCCCUGAAUUUUCUGGGUGAGCACAGUGUCACCGAAGAGGCUGGAGAUUAAGGUGAAAUGAGAGGAUUUGAAGACAAAAGGAGAGGCUUCACCCAAGUACACAGAUGUGCAGGCACCCACUCUCAUGUGAGAACAUGCACUUACACAUGGACUUAGACACAUGCACACACACAUGCACCCAUGUGUACACCCACAAGCAUGAAAAGUAGGAAAAGGAGAAUAGUUUCUGUCAGAGAACAAGAAUGAGGUCUGACACCCUCAUGUUCAGUGUCACCAAGCCCAGCACAGGCUCUGGCUACAGAAUCUUAAGACAGCAGGUAUUUUGCCCUUUGGUACAUGGUACAGCUCCAUGCUCAACAUGUCUAGUAUGCAAAGUCUUACUAAUACGCCCAUUGGGCAGGUGAGAGAAAGGGCUCAGAAAGACAGAGGAAGCCCCCUUGCAACAGAGCUGCUGUCCCCAGACAGUAGUGAUUCAUUCUCAGGUCCAAAUUUAGAACCCCCCCCCCCACUGAGGAGUAUCACUUUAAACACUGAUGUCUUGAGUCUAUGCCCCAAGUCAUACAGCUUCCUUUUAGCCCAUCUCUCCAAUUCUACCAGGCUGGAGGAACCAGCAGAUAGGUUCACGGUGGGACAUGGCCUGAGGGAGUCAGAAAGCUGGUGAUGAAUCUCUUGAGUUUCCCCCUUUCUUUGUUAAGUACUAUUGAUGUAUGCUGUUUUCUUCUUUCUGGGGCUUUUGGCAAAGAAGGAAGUUGCCGAGGGUGAUGCUGAAGGAGAACAGAAAGUGGUUCCAGCAUCCAGAGUACCUUCAGUAGCUGAUGGAGAAGCCAAAAGGGGGAAUACUUUUCUCAUGAAAUGAGUAGGGGUUAAACCCACCUCCAAUAUUAACAGAGAAACAGGAAAGCUACAAAGGACUUAAAAGGCUGGAAAAAGCCCCAGAGUGGCCCAGCCAUGGUGUUCUUCUCUCCUGAGUGAAAAGGACAAGGAACUGGCCAAGGACUCAGAGAAAAUGUGUAUCCUCUCUGGAGCAAGGCUUCAUCCCCAUCAGAAAUUAACAUUGCAGAGCCUGGAGAGGGGGUGGCUAAGGCACAGAGACACUAUCCCAGGGGUGCUUCUGGGAGGCCUAAAGGCAUCUUCAGAACCCGGAAGAGAAACACUCCAGACUGAAUGAUUUUGACCACUAAAGUCAGGCUAGGGACCAAAAGAAGACUAGACUUGCUUCAAAGCUGUAUCUAGACUGUAGGAGUGAGAAUCUGGAAAUGCUGGUUAAUGACAGAGGAAGGCUAGGUUCAACUCCAUUGGUGCCUGAGUCUUUAAGCAGCCACCUCCUGUUAGAUGGGGGCAGCUGGAAGAUGAUGUCUAGGGCCAUCUUCUUCCUUGGCUGAAAGGAUUCAUUCACUUCACAGCUUCUUUUCUAAUGUGAGAGCCACAUUAGAGCCAUGGGGAGAGCCACAGGGAGAGCCAUGGGGUGGCAGAAAGGCUGUUGAGGUGGGAGGAGGGAAGGGCAUCAGUGAGGGUAGCUGGAUGUAAAGCACAUGGACUACAUGCCCACUAGCACACAGGAAGCGGUAAGUUUCAUCUCCAGUAUCACCAAUAUAAUUAUGACAAUAACAGCAAGAUAAGAAGAACCACAUAGGAAUGGUAGAAAGAAAUGGGUGCUUAGUGAAAAGUUACUACAAGAGGAGUGUCCAAGCUGGACACAAUCUAAUAAGUUAUCUCUUUAGCUUGUCAGUGGAUGGGUUUGUACAUGGUGGCUCAAAGUCGCUUGCCCAAACACAGCUAGUGUCUCCCAAACCAGGAUUGAAACUCAGUGUUUUGAUUUUGAGUCCAGACUCCCUCCCUCUCUCCCGUACUUCCUCUCUCCCUCCCUCCCACUGGGCUGUCUCCUGGGGGAGUUGUCAUAUGCACUGUGUGAUAGUUAAUGACAUGGAAAGAUGUCCAGGAGAUACAGCUAGCUCAGUAGUGCAGACUGCGAGAUCAUUUAUUUACUCCAGAAAUGUGAAAUGAUAUCAUAUUCCAUUGGAUCACCAGGUAGCUACCUCCAAAUUUUGAAGUUCCAGUUACUGUAAAGAUCCUUUCAGUUAAUCUGCAUGUCUCAUGUUUUCUACCAGAAUUCUGGGUAUUAUUCAUGAAUACUAACUUAAUGCUAGGCUUUUCUGACUCCCUUGGUGGAACUUUGUCAGAAGGCUGUUGCUAACCCUUAUAGAGGGCGGUAGGUGGACAUCAGGGCAUAUCUAGAAAUGUUGGUGGAGCAACUGCUGUUAGGACUGGUGUUGCAGGUAACUACAGAAGGCAUGGAUUAUGAGGAAGCUGUAUCAAAAAAAGGAGAAAGGACUGUCAGUAGGGUGGAUGUAUGUAGAGUUAGGCUGCUGCCUCCUUGGAGGGCUCUGAGUGCCAGGUUAAAAUGUUAGUGCUAUAAAAUCAAGCCAGCCAUCAUUUCAGACCAAAUGGAAGAGGACCUCAGGAGGCCCCACCCCUCUCUGAGAACUUUAGACAGUUGGUGGCUGCUGGGGAGGGAGAGUCAGUUUUCUUCAGCGGUUUGGCCUCUUGUAGGCUGUCCAUGCUCCUCCAGUGAUGGCCUUACAUCCAUGUAUAUAUGGGUAACACUGACUGGACUCAGUAGGUUAUAAAAGGAGAAAGAGAAGAGAGGGACAGAGACAGAGGCAGAGACAGACAGACAGACAGAAUAUGAAGCUUAGAAAGGAGUGUGAGAAAGGGAAUAGUCUGGAGAUAAGUUGAAAGGAAGGAAUGGGGAGGAUAUAUUCAAAGUACAUCACAUAAACAUGAAAAAAAUUAAGAAGAGAUAAAUAAAAUAAAGGUACUGAGUUCCACAGACUAUGAAGGCCCUAACUUAGUGGUAGCAGUGGAGGUGCUGUGUGCAAAACAGCUUCAUAAAUGCAGGGAGAAAUUAAAUGAAGACUGUGAUUAAGAUGUUGCUUUUUCAGCAUAGAUGUGGAAAGUUCCCUGAUUGGCCCUAGGUUGUGACACGCUAUCGCCACCUGGUGGUCACAUGACCAAAUUGUAGGUCUAAACUUCAGCUUCUACAGGGCUAAAAGGCAGAAAACUUGUCAGUGUUAAAAAAUCCUAGUCAAGUUGUCUGCAUCCCCUGAGAGUUUUAAAAGUCUAUAAAUAUCUGCAUAAGAACUGAAUAUUUCAUAUUUAUCUGAGUGUCUUAGUGAUGUAGGCAUUGCUGCUUUGAGGAACUCAAAAUCAUUCAAAUAUAGCAGAUAGAAAAAAAAUAUCUCCAGGAAUACACAGAUCUCUGAGUCCAGCUGGAAGUUGAGAAGACUCAACAGCUUUGAGCCUUGUAAUGAAGGGAUAAAAAGACUUUUUAAAGCAUCCCUGGCAGGUCGAUGUCUAACAGACUUAACUGCUAAGAAGAAAGUGAGCAAUGAUUCUUCCAAAAGUUCUCUUUUCGACUGAUUCCGCAGCCUGACUCAUUGCCAUUGCAAGGGCUGCAUCUGGAACCGAGCUGUGGCUGAUUCUGUGACUUACUUUUGUCACUGUGUCCAAUUGGACAGAAUUGACAACUAUGGCUUUUUGUGGCUCUCUCUUGUAAAUCCAGGGAGGGCUGGUCCUAAGAUGAGGGGAGCAUGCUAUCUUCCCAUGUGUACGGCGAGGGGGCUGUGGGAACAAAGGCAGAAACAUUCAGACAGGCGGAAGGGCUGACAGACACACUGCUUCAGUGUGGCAGAGCGGCCACUGUGCUAGGAAUCGUGAGGUUAAGGCCUUCCUCUGGCUUUACCCCUGAGCAGCUCUGUGACUUUGGACACAGCGAUUGAUCUCUCUGAGGUCAUAUAUUCCUCUCCUGUAUCCCUUGUUUUUAGAUUUGUUCUCCUGUAGCAUCAUGAUGCCUUAGGGCCAAAAUCUGCACAUGAGUAUAAGUGCAGGAGGAAGCUAGACGUAGGUGUCAGAUUUCCUGGAGCUGGAGUUAUGAGCCAUCCAACAUGGAUGCUUGGAACUGAACUCAGGUCUUCUGCAAGAACAGUAUGUGUGCUCUUGCCCAUGAACCAUUUCUUCUGCCCAAGGACAUGCAAUUUCUUCAGGAGAGUGCCAGGGAUGCGUAAAGCUGACUUCUUACUUUCCGUUCCUCCUCUCCCUUCCUGACAGUCCCUUUUCUUCCUCUCCUUCCUCCCUCCUCUCAUCCCAGCUCCUGCUCCAUCUCUUUCUGCUCAUAAUCCUGGACUCCUCUUCAGCACCAGCACUGGGAAAGGCAAACAGUGAAUUAGCCUACUAUUCCAAGGGACUUACCGGUGCACAUACAUGUAAUAGCCAUUCAGUGGAAACUGUUCCAUCAAACAUGUCAAGAGCACUGUUAGGGAAGAUUGUAGCUGUUUGUCAAGGUUCCCAGGGGCCCCGGAAGUAAACAGUUUUCAAAGAGCUUCCAUUUUAAAAAUAGGAAAAGCUUCCGACCUUCUGUUUGCUGUGGUUCUUCUCCCAUUGGGCAGACUGUGCUUUCUUACGUCAGACGGAGGCAUUCAAGGACUUGUAUCUGAAGGCAGCUCCCUGUAUAGAGAGAACAGUCUCAGAGCACAGCCUCAGGCUGGGGGAAGAUUUUACUGCUUAAGCUCUCUAACCUUACAAAAGUUACUUAAUCUUUCUGGGCUUUAUAUUUUUUUUAAUCUGUGAGUUAAUUAAAAAAACCUAUAAACUACAGAGAAUAAUUGUGGAUUUCAAUGAGAUCGCUGCAGAUGCCUCAUUAAUCUUUAUAACGUUAAUGCAAAUGUUAACUGUAGCUUCAGUGUUGGUCCUGAACUUGUGUGACAUAGAACUGGCUGCUUCCAGGUUUGACAGGAUAAUGCACCCCGACUUUCUGCUUGCUGGGAUCCACUUCUCUCCACAGUCCUCUUUCCUUUUUAUUUACACAACCUCCAGGGUUCUCCAGGGUGGGGGUGAGAUUCCAUAUCUCUCACCUGUUUUGCAAGUUCAGAUUUGAAGAGGUAUUUAUUUGGGGUAAAGUUUCAAAACCACUCUUGUGGUAUCAGUCUGCAGUGAAGGCCCAGGAUUGAAGAAGGAAUUUGAUAAAGUACCAGACGAUAUUGAAGCACAGCCGUUAUAAAGCCACUGAAAUACUCUUGAGACAGAGGGGACCAGGGUAUACACAGCCAUUUUUGAACUGUGGAGAAGAUGGGACUGUCAUUCUAGCAGGAAAUCACCCCAACAGAUGACAGCGAGAGCUGCAUCCACAAUCAAAUUUCAAUUGGUAGCAUUUUCCUGGCCGAGAGCUGAGGAAGGCUGACUUGCGCGGCUCAGUGCCUGGCAUGGUACUGAAGCUACUCCCUUGGCAGAAGCGACAGGAAGGAGAAAGGAAUAGGAACUAUUAUUCUGACAACACAUGAGUGUCAUAUUGCAAGUUGACAGCAGUUUGGUUUUUGGAGCUUGGGAAGAGGGCAUAGAGAGGGCCAGGAUUCUCAGAGGGUGUCAAGGAAUCUUGGGGUGUUGGAUAGGGGGAUUCAGUGUGGUGUGACAUAAGCAAGGUUCCCCAUCUGUCUUUAUGAGGAUUCUCUGCUGUUCAUAAGCAGCCCAGUUAUCUUUGUUUUAGUUGACACAUAAUAGUGCUGGAUGCUCUUAGGUGUUGUAUUUCCCCGUGUGUGAGCAGAAAAUAGUAAGGCAUGCUUUGGUAUUGAUUGGCGCAUGGAAUUUGGGGAGAGAGGCUUCUUGGAAAGGGCUCAGCACCACUGUCAAUUUCUGUCCUAUCUUUUUCAUUCUCGAAACAUCAUUCUUUAGACUUCUAGGUUUCCUUAGCUUUUAGUGGGGACACUCUAUUGGAUCUGCAGACCUACUGUAGAAAGACGUGUUCCUUUAGGCUUUACUGAUCCAGACUAUGCAAGAACCAUGUCUGAGAUGAACCAAGAACAGCAAGGUGGCUCUUACUUCUCUGGAGGGGAAGGCUUGGUAGAGCCAAUUUGUAUAGACUCACAGGACUUAUAUAAGGAGAAUGGGAGCUGGGGUGUGUGUGUGUGGAUUUGUUAGCAUUCUGCUUGAUAACCUAGUGAGAACCCACUCCUGUCUUUUCCCUGAGCAGGACCCCCUUAAGUCAGGUGUGCUACCUCUCCACCCACAACCUCCCUAGUUGAUCCGAUGUAUAGCAUGUUAUUUCAUCGGAAUGGUACCCAUAUCCCAUGGUCACUUAGGGUUGGAGGAUUCAGGAAGAGAAUGGAUGUUAGUAAUGCCUCUGAAGUUCCUAGGAAACCUCAUCGUUGUGUCAGGAAAAGCGGCAGCUCACACAUAGUGCAGAUGGCUUUCUCCAUAUAUUUUUAAUGUGAGAAAGGUCAUGGAUCCUACCCAGGCUGGCCUUCAGACCUCAGUGGAUGAAAUAUCCAGUAGUAAAGUGUUCCAGCAUUGAAUUGGGGGGGGGGCUGUACUUUUUAGUUACAUAGGUAUUUAACUUGCCUCACCAUUGACUGAGCCCACUCACUGAUUAGUUUCCUGAGGCACAAUCCUGGGCAAGCCAUCGCAUUUCAGCUAAACCUCGGUUUCUCCAAGGGAAUCAUGGAAAUCAAGUCCCCUCAGGGAGAAAGGAAUGACAGGUGAAAUACCCCCUGUGGUUCAUGGUUCUAAGCCCCCAGAGAGAUUAGCUGUGACUGUCAAUAAGACGCAGGAUGCCUCUGAGCUGAGAAGGUGAUAAAACUCUCCCGUGGUGAACUAGGCAAGCAAGCUCUGCUCCAGAGAAAACCAGCAGCCCUGAUUCCAGACCCAGCUAUGCAGCUUCUUUGCUCCAUACCUGCCCUCUCCCACACAGGUCUGGUCCUCAGUAUCUACCCUCUUCCCUUAGCAUCCUUCCCCGACCCUCAAGCAUAGAAAAUACAUACCUAGAAUCAUUUUGACUUGAAGAUUAGAAUCAUGUCCAUGGGUGAUUGGUUGGUACUAUUUGCUUGCCUCGCCUAAUUUUAUAUAUUCUAGAAUCUUCUAAGGCUCUUACAUGGAGGGAUUUCUGGCUUUUGGUAUGGUGGAUUGCCUCUGAGUAGGCACAGGUAGACUCUUACCAUGAUACACAGGUCUAGAUGUUAUGAGCCCCAACCAGUCGGUACCUACUAAUACACUGACAUUUCUGGCUUCUUUUACCAGUUUGAUUUCUGCAUCACCUCCCUGAGACAUAGUCAUGUGCACACAUAAGUAGGCACAUAGACUGAUAGUUAAAUGAAAAUAUCAGGUAGAAUUUCAGAACAGUCAUGGAUGAAAUUACAUUAGCAACGCUGCCUUCCACUGAUACCUGUAGCCAUGGACCCUGAUUUAUUAUGACUCUACAUUGUGGAGUACAGUUCAACGCUAAAAUGAUGAUGAUGGGGAAAGCGUGUAAUGGCAUGUGAACUUGUAAAUUAUCAGCUGUCUUCUUUCUCAUCCUACAGUUAUGCCGCAUCCAUCACCUGAUGCUGGACACUCAGCAAGCCCGAAUCUAUGGACAAGAAACGGCUUUGUCAGAGUGGGCCUCUAUAGGCAGGCUUGCAUAUCUUUUGAAUUACUGUCUGCUGUUUGAGCUCACUUUUGACAGUUCUUGAGUGAGUAAUAUCUGUAGGUGACAUAGUGGUUACUGAGGAAUAUUGAUGGGUUUACAAACACACACACACACACACACACACACAAUUACUAUAUAUAUAUUUUUUUCCAACAACCUUUGAUAGGAACAUGAAUUAGCAUUACCAUUUUAUAGACAUGGCAACCUCAGUGACACAGUUGGUGAUCAGAGAAGGGACUCGUAUGGAUCAUCUUCUACCUUAGAAACUAUUCCAUAGUACUAUAUCUUCAAGAUCGGAUAGGGGUGUGUGUGUGUGUGUGUGUGUGUGUGUGUGUGUGUGUGUGUGUGUGUGUGUGUGUGUGUGUGUAGAGAUCAGAGAUCCAUGUCAGAUGUUUUCUUCUCUUGUUCUCCAUCUUAUUUAUAAUAUAGGGUCCCUCACUGAAUGAGGUCCCUCACUGAAUGAAGUCCCUUACUGAAUGAGGUCCGUCACUGAAUGAGGUCCCUCACUGAAUGAAGUCCCUCACUGAAUGAGGUCCGUCACUGAAUGAGGUCCCUCACUGAAUGAAGUCCCUUACUGAAUGAAGUCCCUCACUGAAUGAGGUCCGUCACUGAAUGAGUUCCCUCACUGAAUGAACCCAGGACUUUCCAAAUUGGCCAGGUUCAUCGGCUCCAGGGAAGCUUCUGUCUUCAUCUGCCCAGCACUGGAUGUGUGACCCCACAAUUAGGUUUUAUGUGGGUGUUGGUCUUUGAAUCUGAACGUAGGCCUUUAUGCCUACAUGGGAAACAUUUGUAGUAAGGCAGUCACCUCCCUAGCUCCGUUAAUUGUGUCCUAGAUCAUUUAAGCUCCUCCAUUUUCAGGUCCGUCCAAAAUGAAAACUCUCAGGAGACUCAGACACUCCCUAUCAAUGAACCAUUUUUCAAUCACAACAGAAAGCUAAACCUGAUGAAAAGAGUUUGGUUAGAGCUGAUCCCUCGGUGUGGACAGCUGCCCAAGCUGGUGGCACGUGCUCAGUAUAUACUUACUUCAUUGUCUGGGCACGCUCAGAUGUAGCACUGUCCCAAGAACACACACCAUUACCUCCAUCGGGCACACAGCCUAGAUGUACCAAGGCGAGAUAGGAUGGUAUUUUGGAACAUGAUGUGAAGUUUCCUGAUUGGAAAUGUUCUUGAACUAAAAUAUCUUUCGUGACAAGCUUUUUUGUGGUUAUAAAAAAAGAUCAGUAUCUCUCAGGUUACCCGAUCUGCUAAUUACUCCGGAUUCAGAUCAGGUAUUUGUGGGUGAAAUUAGCAAUAUCCCCUGGCUUUUGACAAGGGGCCCUGAUGGAAAGAGACAGGCUCGCUGUAAGUGAUGAGGAAGAAAAGGAGAGGAGCAUCUUCAGGGUGAGCUUUUUAUCUUCCAGGUUAAACGGUGGCUUAAUGUCUGAUGAUGUUAAGCCAGGGAGAAGAAUGAAGAGGAAAAGUGAGCCACUUCCUUAGGAAGCAAGCAGCAUCUUGGGGGUGCUGGGGGGGUUAGGUUUCAUUCAAGGAGCUAUGACGUGCGCUAAGUCAUCUUUUCAUCUUGUGUGGGAGGACCUGUGAGAGCUGGUUAUUUUCCAAUUAACAAUGGGUAAGAGAUGGUUCCUGAAUCAGAGGCCCUGGUUUACCUAUUUAUAGGUACUGGGCUGUACUUAGCUGCGCCUCCUUGUCUAUUUCUGCGUGGUACUCUACACCUGCCGUGCGCUGAGGUCCUAGGAUGACUCAGGUAGACUCUGAGGAAAGCUCUUUCUACAGUGGGCCGUGCUCUUCCCAUGGCUUCCUGCUGCAGGGGUCAGCGCACACGUGAAUGUUGAGUGCCUUUCCCCCUUGCAUGCUCCUUGCUCAUCCCUACCUCUGUUCCCGAAUGCUAGAGAGUAUAGCAGGCCUGCAUCCCUUUGUUCUCCAAAGUACGCAGUCUUCGGUUGACUCGGAAGCUCCCCGCAUCAGCAAACUGGAGUCAGAGAGAAGAUAUCUGUGAAGAACUGGGAGCUGGCUGGACCAUAGCAAGUUCUCAAGAGUUAUUGACUCAAUAAAAACAGACUACCCCCCACAAAGGAGCGAGCUGCAUAGCCAUGUGGACAUAAGGUAGGUUAAAAAUAACACGUGGUGAAGUGCUAGGGACUGGCACGAUGCCCCGGGAGGUAAAGACACUUGCCACCAAGCCUGACAAUUUGACUCUUAGGACCCACAGGUGGAAAAAAGCUAGCCAACUCUUUUCACACUCAUGUUGUGGCAUAUGUGGGUCACCUCCUCAGCACCCCAAAUAAACAAGUAAACGUAAUAUAAGAAGAACAGUAACAUGUCUUUGCCAAGCUUUAGUUACCUCACUGGAGGAAUAGUGCAGAUUGCUCAGCCCACUUCCAAGUAUUGGGGCGGGGCUUGAAGACACAUCCUGGCUGAUCUCCAACUGGGAGGAUGAAUCAGUGAGGAAGACAUGGUUUUGCCCUUCAUCUGGAGUAGUAAAGAACUCCAGGCUGUCACUCUGGGCACUCUGGGGAUCACAUCUGUGCAGCUGGAAUUUCUCAUCCCACACUCUAGACAAAGCUUUGGCCUCUGAGGCUGAUACGUGAUCAUCAUUAGUAGGGAUGGUGGUCAUGGCAAAUUCUUUGGAAAGGCAUGAGUAAGUUCUUAAGGAGCUGGUUUUUCUUGUUCUCUAGGCUUGAAAUUUGUCUCAGAAAGGGAACAUGAUCCUGCCUCAGUUUCCGAUGCCACUGCUCUACAUUUAAUGGCUUCUACUGAUCUAGUAUAGAAAGGAGAAAAUUGUGUUGGUUCCCGUUCCUCCCUUCCACUAAUUAGUACUGGGUGGCAGCCACUAGGCAAGCUGGGACCAUUGCUGUGUCACAACAUACAUGACAAAAACAACUUAAAUAAGGAGGGGUUAGAUUUGGCUCCCAGUCCUCCAUGAAGUCGUGGCAGCAGGAGCCCAAGAAACUUCCAGAAACAUAGAGUAGUGAAGGCUGGUCCUCAAUUCACUUUCAUUUGCGUUAAUCUAGAACCCCAACCCAUGGGAUGGUGCUAUGGGUCUUUUGACCCCUGUUAGCCUAAUCUAGAAGCUGCCCCCACAGACACCUUCAGAAGCCUGUCUUCCAGGUGAUUCUAAAUUCUGUCAGGUUGACAAUAAGUAUUAACCUGUCACUGUAGAUGAGAGGCAAAGAUCAGCAGGCGCCUUUUAAACCUAUGCACAAAUGAGGAAGGCUGGCGAGGCAUGAGGGAUGGCUAUUUGUCUCCUCUGUCUGUUCCCAGGGCCUUUGAUCUCACGUAUGUCUUGCAUCUUGAUUCUGAACAACAACUACAACAAUAAACAACAGUAACAAGCAAACAGUGGUGUGUUAAAGGCAGGGAUGAGAUGCCCUACGACCCAGAUACAUUGUGCAGCAGUUUCUGACAAAUAUCCUAUCUAGAAAUUUUAAUGCUGCCAUUUGAUUGUAAGGUUACUAUAUCACUUCAUGUACACAGAGAGCUGCAUACAAUAAGAAGAUAUCUCCUCUAUAGAUAAGGCAUAGAGGGGCUAACAUACCUCCCCAGGUCACACAGCUCUAUGGGUGUCAUGUCCUGAACGCAGCUGUCUCAGCUGCAUGUGUCAUGUGACUUUAUCUAUAUUCAUGCCAAAUGGGGCUAAUUUUAUUGCCUUGGGAGGAGUCAGUUCUUUGUGUUUUUUUGUUUGUUUGUUUGUUUGUUUGUUUGUUUUUUAUUUCCCUCUAUUCCCAUUUGGCCAAAGUACUCAGAUUUCGUCAUUUAUUUAUGUCCCCAAAUAUAUACUGAGUACUAACUUAAUUAAUAACUCCAUUAUUGUUCCCAUGUAACAAUGUGGGAUUUUUUUUCUUUCUUUUGGUUUUCUGGCGCUUGGAAAAGGAUAAAUGGUGCUCUGCCUUGGAACGUAUUGAUCAUAUGAUAGUGUGGGUGAUUUAGAGGGAGCUGGAGGUCCUGACAACACUGCCCAAGCUCCUUUGUAUGAACAGCCUCGCCCCUCUCACUGUUCCUCAUAGAAAAUAAACAACUUAAAGCUGAGUCUUCACUGUGCAUAUCUUACAUGCUGGAACAUUCUUUUAUAAAAACAACUCUUUGGAGUUGGGGAGAUGACUUUGUAGGGGAAAAUGCUUGCCGCAGAAGCACGAGGACUUGCGUUCAAUACCAGACUAACACAUCUGGAAUCCCAGCUCCAGGCAGCAGAGGCAAAGGGAUCUCUUGGGAUACCACAGCAGAAUCAGUGAGCCCCAGCUCAUGAAGAAACCUUUCCCCAAAUAAGAAGGUGGAGAAGUGUUUGAAAGGUUACCUAAUGUUGACCUUUAGCCUCACACACAUACAUGUACACAUACAAACAUGUACACAUGCACGCAUUCAUGCAAAUUUUUGCUGUGGCUAGCUCUAAGCCAUAGGCACAUGAUCUUGACAAGGAGAUUUAACAUUAACAUUAAAAUGGGGUGCGUUGAGAAGAAGGCAGAUCUAAUGGGUCUUCAAAGGCCCGAACCUUGGCUGUAGUUCAUUCCCUAGACCAAAUGAUGGGCUUUAGAAUACCACAGCCACACAUUUUCCUCCUUCCUAGACUCCAUCUAGCACCUAGGGUCCUGGGCUUCCAGUUCACUUUUCACUCCCAUGAACUCCUACUGGGCCGUUCUCUGGCAUCGAUCUCUCUAGUCCCUGGGGGAAGAUAAUAGAGAGGAGCCCAAGCUUCCAUGGAGCCGGCUCUUCCAGGACCAAUUUCUGACUCAUAGACUGUAGGGGGUGCUGGCCUUGUAGGGAGAAGGAAGCUUCUCUUUGUUUCUGCUUAGCAGGAACCACGUGGAGAACUCACUGUUCCAAGCAGCUGUCUCAGUGUUCGAGCAUUUGAAAAA
rnacentral:sRNA from 1 species